rnacentral:lncRNA from 1 species
AGAAAGUACCGAGACAGCCAACUGAGAGCAGAGCUGUCCUCCGACCUCAGCAAAGAGAAUUCACUCCUACGAUUAUUUCCAUUCCACAAGAGAGGGAGGGAAACAGAUUGUUACCAACUCAAUGAUAGCAAAGUCUGCAUCUGGAUCAGGAUGUUAAUUCUCUAGACUACUGUCCAGUAGACUCUGCAAGAACAGGUUAUCUAAAAAGUAACCGUUCUACUCAACAUUUAUUCCUAAUGUUAAAUAUUAAUCUCAACCCUAGUCAAAGUGCCUUACUGAACAAUUAAGUCUUAAAAAAUCUAAGUAUGUUAACAAACUGCCUUUCCCGUUUCUUCCUUUAAAAAGUUCACUCCCCUUUUCGUUCUUUCCUUUUCACCUUCCUUUCGUCCCUCAAAAUGGCUUUCUCUGUACAUUUUAACUUCCUUUCCCCUCCAUCUCCCUUAUCCGAAUAAGUCCUCUGAGACCCUUUUCACAACCCUGAGUUCUGAAGCUCCAAGCGCACACAGCGCUGUGUCCUCUCAAGCGUCUCCACAAUGACUACCCUAAGUUAUUAAACCUCUUCAAUCCUCUGUCUUUUAGCAGUUGCUUUGCUCCUGCUAAGUUUUUAAAGCGGCACUCGAAAGAGGUUUGGAAACCAUCCUCACUCAUCCAUCCAGCGCGCUCCAAUCAGCCUCCCUCGCGGACCUGCCCCCCUCUCCCAGGGCCUCCAUCCCGGUCCAGGAGUCCCUCUUCCCGCCUCAAACUUCCCGCAGACCCGCCCCGCGCCCUCCCAGGCUCGCCCGAGCCGCCGCCCCCUCCCCCUCCCGCCGCUCCCCACGUGCUGGGAGCCCGGGUCGCGGCAGGACCCACGCACCGGCUAAGUGCUAGCCAUUCGCGGGUCUCCUCUCGCGGCCCGGUCGGCACCAAGCCGAAGAGGCCGGGGCAGGGCCGCCGGGCCGGCGCAAGGAUGCGUUCUGCGGCCCCGGCCUGUACUCGCCGCUCACACGCCCCCUGCGCGCCAGGCCCGUACACCGCCACCGGCACUCACAGAGCCACCCGGCCUUCACCCGGCCGCUGGGCCGCCGCCUGGGCACCGCGCCGCGCCCGCCCUCCGCCCGGCCGGUUCCUGUCCUCUCCGCCACAUCCUGACCCGCCCGCCGCCCCCUUUCUUACCGGCGGGCUUGGCGGGGCGGAGGGAGCCGACUCGGGUGGACGGCCUCCCCCGCGCCCAGGCCCGGGAUCUCCGCCGCCCAGUCCUAGGGCUCCGGCGUCUCGGGGUAAGCAAGAGUCCGUGCGGGGGAGGGGGAAGGGGACAGACGCGGAGGGGAAGGGGAAGCCCCGGUCCGCAGCACCAACGCGCGAUCCCCUGCGGAGUGGAGCUAACAAUUCAUUAUUGAAGCACCAAGGGCGAGGGCAGCAAGAGCUAUAAGUAACCAGUCGUCGCCGCCGCCGCCGCCGCCGUCGCGCGCGCGCUCCCGCUCCCUCCGCUUAUCUGCCCCCGGCAGCCGCCAUGACGCCGAGAAAGCAAGCGAGCGCAACCGUCUCCGUCGUAGCCGCCGCCGCCACCGAGGUCGCCGUCGCCUCCGCCUCCCGCGCGACGUAAGCGCCUCUGCUCACUCCCCUUCCCGACAGAGCGCGAGGCGGGCGGGCGCGCGCACGCCGAAGCCUUUCUGCUCGCGCGCGGGAGGCGGGAGGGACUACGUUGAAGGGUCGUGGGCGUAGGAAAAAAGCGAUUGGUGCUGGGGCGGGGCGGGGGGGGCGAGUGCGCGCACGCGCACGAAUGGGAGUGCGCACGGCGGAUGCGCAGAGGCUGUCGGACUCUGACUGCGCGGAGACCGCUGGACUCUGGUCGCGGCCUUAGUCCGCUGAUCCUCGCUUGGGUGCCCGCCCUUAGCGGCCCGGCGUUGAAUUCCGGGAAGUGGGAGCUUCAGGCUCGCUCCGUGCGGGUAUGGGCGCUAAUGUCACUUGGGAUGGUUGCGCAAGGACAUCGCGGCGGACACUGACAAGGAACCGGGGAGGAACGGGGGUGGGGAGAGACUGCGAUGGGACUCGGGAAGCCGGGAAGGGCCGCGCUGAAUAAGCCUAAGGGGCCGGGUCGCAAGGAGUGUCGGGUAGCACAGGCCUCGGCUCAGUCGGAGCGCCAGGCCUCAGGGUCCGGGCGGGGGCUGCUGCGUCACACCAGGCAGCCUGGGAACGCAACUGUUGGGCAACCGUGGUGGCCUCUCGCCACCUCUUACGCUUGGGCGAUCUGCGAUUGACGCAUCCUGGGAGCUGAUGUCCCGCACGGGCGGGGCGCCGGAGGAGGAGAGAAAAUAGAGACCCGGUUGUUGACAGCCUGUGAUGCCGCUUGAUUCAUGUGUGGGUGGCCUGGUUUAGAAAUGUACCACCCUUCCUUUCUAGGUUCCUCCCCGGAGGGCGGGGUGACGGGUGCGGCGCCGAAUCGCAACAAAAAACGCUGCUCGAGGGAUGUUAGUAACUGUCUCAGCUUAAGUUGCUGCCUUUUAGCUUACAGUUUGUAUCGUAACUGUAAUUGUGGAUCUUAGUUAAAUCCCUUCAGUGUGUUGGAAACAUAUUUUUAAGUGUAUUUUUGAAACAUACUUAGAGCAUUUUGAAAUGCUUUUUUGAAAGCGUUUUUUAAAUCAAAAUUCUGUUACACUUUAUUUUUUUCAGUCUGCAGAUGAACUUGACUCACUCAAGGUUAAUGAUUUUUGUUUUUUAUUUAUGUUUGUAGAGGCGGGGUUUUGUCAUGUUGCUAGGUUGGUGUUGAACUCCUGAGCUCGAGCGAUCCACCUGCCACUGCCUUCCAAAGUGCUGGAAUUACAGGCGUGAGCCACGGCGCCCGGUGGCCGAGGUUAAUAAUAAUUAAAAGUUUCUAAUCCCAUUGUUCAGUUAUUUGAUUUGGUGUAAAGGCGCACUUUCCAAGUCAGAUGAGUUUGUGGUAACAUACAUUCCCCAAAUAAUUAUUUUUCCCUUGUGGGAAAUAUUCCAGUUUUAGGCUACCAGCUGUUUAAACAGUUUGGUUCAAAUCCUUCAAAAAAAUCUCAAAACAUAACUCCACAUAUGUAUUUACUACAUAUUGAAGGGUGUAUUCACUUGGAGAAGUAGGAGAAAGCAAACAGAUGCCAAUGGCCUUUUUGAAAACAUGUAUCUAUCAGCAAUAAUUGAAUAGCAAAACGAAGUGGAACACUACCAUCCUUUGCAAUAUUAGAUAGUUUUAAUACUGGGUUGUGAGGAAUGAAAAGAUCAUACAAAUCGUCAUUUCUGAAGUCAUUUCUGAAGUCGUCAUUUCUGAACUGAGUGCUAAUUUUUCAUAUUAAGCUUUAUGUUAAUAUCCUUAAUGAGAGGAACUUCCUGUGCCCGUAAUUUCUCCAGAGAAACUAUUAACAUACACAGAAUGUUGUAAUCAGAAGUAUAGUUCAGUUAAUAAAGUCCUCAAUUACAACUCUGACAUUUUGUCAUUGUCUUAUGAAAAGAAUUACUGUAUAUACAGUCUAUUUUACGUUUUCCGGAAGCACGUCAGGCAGGUUUUUUGUUUUUUUACUACUAAUUGUGCCAUUGAAUAUGCUAUUCUGUCGUAUUGUGCCAUCAAACAUGCUAUUCGAAAAAAGAUCUUGCCCAAUUUGUAAUAAAAUAUUGAACAUUGGAGAUUUAGAUUUCGAGUAAAAUCAUACUUUAUUGCUUUGCAGAAGUACACAGUAGGUGGAAAAUUGCAACAAUCUUGCCAGUUCAUUUUUUAAAAAGCGUGUAGGUAAUCCAAAGAUACCUUUUUGAUGAUUUGUUAUCAACAUAGUUAAAUUUGCAGUGUCACUUUAUUUGAAUAAACUAGCUUUAUCUCUACUUAGUGGUACUAAAACAAUAGCCAAACAGUUGAUAAUCUCAACACAUGACUAACGAAAAAUUCCACAUAAUUAACAUUAACCAGGAGGUUUUUGUUACUAUUUAAUUUCUCAUUUUUAAAAUUUCAUAUUCUUUGGAAAGAAUAUUACUUUUCCGGAAUCUAAGACAGCAUUUUGUGGGUCCUUAAUUGUGAUAUGCUUUACUAGGUAAAGUACUAAAUGGGUAUCCUUAGGUGGGGAUAGGCUGGGAACCACAUAUCCAGAAUUGUGAAAUAUAUAACAUAAACAGGAUAACUUGCUCCUUUGUUAGCUUUUUGGAUGCCAGGGUUAAGAUUUUAAUUCCAUAAUUAUGUCCUUGUUGCCUGGAGGAUUUGCAUAUGAGAAACCACAAAAACAAUCGGGACAUUAUUAAAAUACCCUAGAAUCUCAACCUGUGACAGUAUUUCCCAUGUCCUUGCAAAACCAGAGGAAGUCUUUCCAAUAUGAUUCUUAAAUUUACAAAGUCCUCUGAAUAGAAACCAUGAAAUCCUAAGUCAUCUUCUAGUGAAGAUUUGCUGUACAUUUUCUGUUUUCCUAAUAAGAAAUUAGAGGAGUUUAGUUCCCAGUGUUGGGCAAGGGAUAGGACUCAGUCACCUGGAAAGUUCUUUUGUAACUACACGUGCCUGACACUCCUAUUCUUCCCCUCUGCUGAUAUGCAGAAUUUCUAGGUUCUAGGUAGUAUUUGGGAAGUUUCCCAGAUUAUUCUGAUAUCUACCAGCGGCUCAUCCACCUUCUUUAUGGUCACUGUAUUUGGGGAUUUUGAAUGAUAAAUUCUUGAAUCACUAAAAGCUAAAUUUCAAACAGAAAAUUGUUAGAGAUGAUACUAAGAGGCAAGUAUGUAUAAAAUCUAAUAGGCAUUGAAGAAGAUACAAAGAUUCCAUCCUCUACUGAAAAAUUAAGUGUGCACGCAGAGUAAGAAAGAAGGUUAAGUAGCCAACCUCAAAAAUAUUUAAAAAUUAUUGCAUUGAUGCUGUAUCACUCAUUUCCUUGCCCAGAUUCUUUUUUUUUUUUUUUUUUUUUGAGACAGAGUCUCACUUUGUCACCCAGGCUGGAGUGCAGUGGUGCUAUCUCAUUUCACUGCAAUCUCCGCUUUCUGGGUUCAAGUGAUUCUCAUGCCUCAGCCUUCCAAGUAGCUGGGACUACAGGCACGCGCCACCACACCCAGCUAAUUUUGUGUACUUUUAGUAGAGACUGGGUUUCACCAUGUUGGCAAGGCUGGUGUCAAACUCCUGACCUCAGGUGAUCUGCCUGCUUCAGCCUCCCAAAGUGCUGGGAUUACAGGUGUGAGCCACCAUGCCCAGCCCUUGCCCAGAUUCUUUAUUCACUGCUGUCCAAAUACUGUUGGUCCUCUGUACCUGCAGGGAUUUGCAGGUACAGAGGCUCAACUAUAAGGGACUUGAGCAUCCCCAGGUUUUGGUAAAUGGGGGUCCUGGAACUAAUUCUCUGCAGAUACUGAGGGACAAACGGUACCACUCAUUUUAAUGCAGAAAUUUUGUAUUCAUCCUUUCUUUUUAACUCCCACUACCGGGCUUAGUUUAGGCCUCUAUUUUCUCUAUCUUUCCCUUCAGCUUAUCCUUUAGGUUUCCUUCAAACUUGAAAUCUAACUAAAUCAGUCCCCUGUUAUAUACCACAUAUAUUUGUAAACUAAACAUAUAUGAAGAUGUAUGUACAUAUCAUAUAUUCCUAGUAUUUUAGUUACUUAAUUUUUUCACAGACUAAUCUCAGUAUUGCCUCUCAUCAUUCCUAAUGGACACUUGGUACUCUAGACACUUCUUCAGGUCACUGGAAAGGUAUCUCUCAUUGUAAGUGGAUAUAACCCAUUUAUCUUAUGGGUCAGUCUUUCAUAAGUUCGUUUAAGUAAAUGCUCAAGAACUGUUGAGUACCUUGACACAAUUGUGCUGACAACCUAUAAGACUUGUCAGAAAACUCUCUGACCUCCCUUUUAGGACAUGGAAUUGAGUAUUCUGUAAGUGCGGCAUGUCAUUGUAUCACAAUAUAGCAUUUGUUUCCAUACUACAUUGUGAGGUCCUUGAGCAAAGAGUACUGUGCCCCAGUGCAUUGUAUUGAUAUUCAUUCAAUACAAAUGUAAGAAUGUAUUACAUACCAGACAUUCUGCUGAGGGUAGGGAGGGAUUAUAAUACAGCAAAAACUAACACUUUCAAAGUUAAAGCCUAGUUCAGGACACAGUCACACUAUAAAAUGACAACUUAGAAAAAUAGUAUGAAGAGACAUACGGUGCUGUGAGAAUCCAUAAUAAAGAACCCUAGUCAGAAAAGUCUCAAGGAAGUGACGUGAUCGUUGUGGUCUAGAGCUGAAGAAUUAAUAUGAAUUAGGUAGGCAAGAAAGGGAAGUACAAGAGCUGCUUUCUGGGUAAAAGAAACAACAUGGGCAAAGAUUCUGGGGUCAGAGAGAUCACGUCAGUGCACUUGCCAGUUUGCCAAGAACAGGCCGUAUUCACUUUCAGAAGUGUUCAGGUUUGGAUAGUAAAUUGCAGGGCCAUCCUAUCUAUAAGGGACUCUAAGAAGCAUGGUUCUGCUGGAGCAAACAGCAGCUGGACAAGAUGAGGCUACAUAGACACUAGGCCCAAAGGCUAAGUGAAGUAUGUUUUUCAAGACAAUGAGGAAGCUAUUGAAGGAUUUGAAACUGGGUGGUAGCUUGAUGGGACUGGCAAAUUGAAAGUUUUUACUUUAGGUAUAAAUCCCAAAGAAGGAUUAGAUGUGGGUUGAAGUAGAUACAGUAUUCCUAAUUAAGUCAGGAGUCUUUGGCAGAUAAGAGAGGUUAGAAAUGACAUGAUAGACUAGGAUAGUGUAAUGGAGGUGGAGAGAAGUAGAAUUGGGAAGGGUAACAAAACUUGAUGGGAUUGGAUUCAGGCAGGGUUAGGAGGAGGAGGGAUGUUAGUCAUUUGCAGCUGAAUGACAUUCACUUAUAUAGUAAUGUAUUUGGAGAUGUAUAGAUAGGGAGAUCAUUACGUUUGGUUUAAGACAGAAUUGGGCCGGGUGUGAUGGCUCAUCCCAGCACUUUGGGAGGCCAAA